GAUGAACGCUGGCGGCGUGCCUAAUACAUGCAAGUCGUACGGAAAGGCCCUUCGGGGUACUCGAGUGGCGGACGGCUGAGUAACGCGUGGGAACGUGCCCCAAAGUGAGGGAUAACGCACCGAAAGGUGUGCUAAGACCGCAUAUGGUCUUCGGAAUGAAGCUUCGGCGCUUUGGGAGCGGCCCGCGUACGAUUAGAUAGUUGGUGAGGUAAUGGCUCACCAAGUCGACGAUCGUUAGCUGGGCGGAGAGGAUGAUCAGCCAGACUGGGACUGAGACACGGCCCAGACUCCUACGGGAGGCAGCAGUAAGGAAUCUUCCACAAUGGGGGCAACCCUGAUGGAGCAACGCCGCGUGCAGGAUGAAGGUUUUCGGAUCGUAAACUGCUUUUAUAAGUGAAGAAUAUGACGGUAACUUAUGAAUAAGGAUCGGCUAACUACGUGCCAGCAGCCGCCGUAA
rnacentral:rRNA from 1 species